rnacentral:misc_RNA from 1 species
CUCCCCCUAAGAUAAUUCCUAUAUAACCCCCACGGUCACGAGUCUUUUCUAUUCGGGCAAGAACCUCGAAAGGCCAAUAAUUUCAUGGCUUCCUCCUGUAAAUUACCUGUACCACCCUCAUCGUUUGCUUCGACUGCCGAAACAACCACCGUCCACCACGGCGGCUCUUCCUCCUUUAUCUCCGCCAUCCACCCAGACAUUCUCUAUACGCAUGUCCUCACACGUCUCGACGGCCCCGCUCUCGCCUACGUCGCUUGUGCCUCCAAGGAACUUAAGUCCCUCGCUUCUCAAGAUGAUUUAUGGAACAAGAUUUGCUGCUCCACUUGGCCGUCUACUGACAUGCCGCGGUUGCGCCAAGUUAUUUCUACUUUUCCUCACGGCGCUCGCUCCUUCUUCUCCGCCUCUUUGCCUCUCCUCUCCAUCGACCAAGCUCCCACCGCUCCUCCUGUCGUUAGUAACAGUCCAUCUGAACUGUUCUCCGCUGUCGAUAUUUACUACCGUAAUGAGCUCAUUUUCAGUAGAGUUGUGGAGACAGAGACCGAGUCCUGGUGGUUCCGGUGCUUGCCUUUUAGAAUCGACAUGCUCGACCCCAAGGACACGCGUCCUACGCCUAUAACGCGUCCGGACACACAGGAUGAUCACCUGAAGUUGGCGGAAGACUUAACACUGAGCUGGAUUUUAAUCGACGCUGCAGGGAGACGAGCGAUGAACCUCUCCAGCCACAAGCCGGUAUCGGUGCACAGACACUGGCUGAGCGGUGAGGUACAGGCGCGGUUUGCUUUGAUUUUGGCCAGCAAGAAAAGAUCAUCAUCGGAGUUUGUGCAGUGUGGAAUUCUGGUGAACUACGGAGGAGGGACAUCGAGUGGAGGAAUGCUUGUGAAGGAAGUGAGCUUGCAGGUGGAAGACAUGGAUGGAAUGUUCUUGAAUGGGAAGGACAGUUUGGGAAUUUUGAACACUUCAUUUGAGGGCAAGAAGGGAAUUAUGGGAGGAAGGAAAGAAGAAGAAGGAAGGAGAAGAUAUGAAGGAUUUUUGAAAAUGAAAAGAGAGAGAAAAGAGAGAAAAUUGAGAACAGAAGACACAUUAGAUACCCUAUGUGUGGGUUUUGGAAUCUUAAUUCUUGCCUGC